rnacentral:lncRNA from 1 species
CUUGAAGUCUUCACCCUAGCUUUGUUAGGUACUUUAGUGUUUCCACUAGAAGAAAGACAUAUUAAUACCCGUUUGCAAUCUGUGGUGAUGGCCCUAUUUCAUAAGGAUCAAAACGACAAGGGCAUUAAUCAAAAGGGCAGGUUCACUCUCAUACCCAUGAUCUUAACAAAAAUAUAUAAGGCUUUAACCGAAGUGAAGGG